UGGAAACUGGCCUAGGGAUAUGGAGCCCAACCAAUGGAAGAGGAGGCAGAGGGACAGAGGAGAGAAUCAAUCCCUAAUCGCUGAGGAGUAGGGAGUAGGAGGGGUGAAGAGGAAGUGAAAAGAAGAAAAAAAAAAAAAUCAGGAGAGAGAAAAGACAGAAAGCAGUGUGUUUACCAGCAGACAUUUGGGUGCUGUCAGCUGACUGCAAGAGCUCUGGGAUGUCUGAGAGAGAAAAGGGAGUUAUAUAACCAGGCUGUUAAAGCAGGGGGAGAGAGUGAGACAGACAGACAGAGACGGAGACAGAGAGGGACCGGGAAAAAAAAACAAAAACGCUGCCAUUUAAAGUGACAGGGACAACAUUAUCAAAGCAAAAAACAAACACGGUACACGAUGCUGCCUGCACAGACACCACACGGAGGCAGCUGAGUGUCCGACGUCUCUUGACACGGCAGAGAGGACCCAAUGGUACUCAAGGCAAACAUGAGUGUGUCAGUGUGUGACACAGGACUGCACUUUGCAGAGGACACUCACAGGGCCGUCAGCUUCCCAAUCAGACCCCCGGAGACAAGCCUCACCAAAUCAGUUAACCUUUGACCCCUCUGGAACGACUCGGGGCCCAAGAGUCACGGUCAGCCCGCUGAAAGACAAUGUGCAUCACGCUCCUUUCGACCGACAGGAGCAGUCAUGUUGGUUGGCGUCUGUCCACUCCGUAAAAUGAAGAAACAGCAGUCUAUCAUGAGCCCAUCUAAUGCCGGCCAAGACAUAUUUCUUUGAUAAUACAAAGUCAUGGCUCAGAGCUUCCUCUUCUCUCCAGCCUGACUUGAUACAUCUGGCUUACAACCUGUCGAUUUUUCCACAACGGCAGUGUAAUGUUAUGUCUUCGUCAUAACACUGAAAAUGAUUUAUACACAUUGUGCAUUCAAAUAUGUGCACUUUUUAGGUGUUGGUUGCUGAAAUGUGUUUUCCAUUUCAGUGUUUCCAGAAAAAUAUGCUUCUUAAGCCUGGGAAUCUCUCCUGCAGGAUGUUCACUGUAAUGAUUGUCAUGGACUGAAUUUGGCUAAUUAUCUGCACUGAAGGAGACUGGGAAAUAUUUAAUAUAGAUUUUAAUUUGAGGUAAUCAUCAAACUCAUCAGUCAUCAAUACUUUAAUUUACUAUGUGUAGAAUUCUAUGUGAUUAUAAUAUCACUAUCAUUAUUAACAUCAUUCUGAUGGAAUUUGUUUGUACAAAAAUUAAACAGCACUUUGUAAAGGUUGUUCGAGGUCCCUGAGUCAGGUCUGGGGAGGGAGCACCGGAGGACACGAGGACACGAGGACAUCGGAGGACACAGAGGCACAUGAUUUUUCAGCUUUAAAGUGACGCAACUCUCACAACCCCCCCAUCUGUGCUUCUACAUGGACUGCUCUAUGGCAGCUCAAUGUACAGUUUUCCUCAGGAUUAAGUAACUGUCUGCUAAUAAGGUUCAGAAUGCAAUAUGUUUGACUGAAGACAAAACCCCUUAAAUUAAAUUUAAAUACAUCUAA